UACGUAGGGUGCAAGCGUUAAUCGGAAUUACUGGGCGUAAAGCGUGCGCAAGCGGCUAUGCAAGACAGAUGUGAAAUCCCCGGGCUCAACCUGGGAACUGCAUUUGUGACUGCAUGGCUAGAGUACGGUAGAGGGGGAUGGAAUUCCGCGUGUAGCAGUGAAAUGCGUAGAUAUGCGGAGGAACACCGAUGGCGAAGGCAAUCCCCUGGACCUGUACUGACGCUCAUGCACGAAAGCGUGGGGAGCAAACAGG
rnacentral:rRNA from 1 species